rnacentral:rRNA from 1 species
UACGGAGGGGGCAAGCAUUAAUCGGAAUUAUUGGGCGUAAAGGGCGCGUAGGCGGAUUUGUAAGUCAGAUGUGAAAUUCCGGGGCUCAACCUCGGAACGGCAUUUGAAACUACUUAUCUAGAGGAUUGGCGGAGAAAACUGAAUUCCACGUGUAGCGGUGAAAUGCGUGGAUAUGUGGAAGAACACCGGUGGCGAAAGCGGUUUUCUAGCUUAUUCCUGACGCUGAGGCGCGAGAGCAAGGGGAGCAAACAGG